ACGCGAAAGCCCCGAAAGGGGCAAGUAGAGUGGCAAACGGGUGAGUAACACGUGGGUGACCUGCCUUCGAGCGGGGGAUAACGUCCCGAAAGGGACGCUAAUACCGCAUAACAUCCUGCCUUUGAAGAGGUGGAGAUCAAAGCUGGGGAUCGCAAGACCCGGCACUUGAAGAGGGGCCCGCGUCUGAUUAGCUAGUUGGUGGGGUAAUGGCCUACCAAGGCAACGAUCAGUAUCCGGCCUGAGAGGGCGGACGGACACACUGGGACUGAGACACGGCCCAGACUCCUACGGGAGGCAGCAGUGGGGAAUUGUUCGCAAUGGGCGCAAGCCUGACGACGCAACGCCGCGUGGAGGAUGAAGAUUUUCGGAUCGUAAACUCCUGUCGAAUGGGACGAAUAGGUUGUGGGUUAACAGCCUGCAAUCCUGACGGUACCGUUAAAGGAAACCCCGGCUAACUCCGUGCCAGCAGCCGCGGUAAUACGGGGGGGGUAAGCGUUGUUCGGAAUUACUGGGCGUAAAGGGCUCGUAGGCGGCCAACUAAGUCAUACGUGAAAUCCCUCAGCUUAACUGGGGAACUGCGUGUGAUACUGGAUGGCUUGGAUUUGGGAGAGGGAUGCGGAAUUCCAGGUGUAGCGGUGAAAUGCGUAGAUAUCUGGAGGAACACCGGUGGCGAAGGCGGCAUCCUGGACCAAUAUUGACGCUGAGGAGCGAAAGCCAGGGGAGCAAACGGGAUUAGAUACCCCGGUAGUCCUGGCC
rnacentral:rRNA from 1 species